rnacentral:tRNA from 1 species
GACCUGGUAGCUCAGCUGGUAGAGCAUUUCACUUUUAAUGAAAGGGUCCCGGGUUCGAGCCCCGGCCAGGUCACCA